UACGUAGGGUGCAAGCGUUAAUCGGAAUUACUGGGCGUAAAGCGUGCGCAGGCGGCUAUGCAAGACAGAUGUGAAAUCCCCCGGGCUCAACCUGGGAACUGCAUUUGUGACUGGCAGGCUAGAGUAUGGCAGAGGGGGGGUAGAAUUCCACGUGUAGCAGUGAAAUGCGUAGAGAUGUGGAGGAAUACCCGAUGGCGAAGGCAGCCCCCCUGGGCCAAUACUGACGCUCAUGCACGAAAGCGUGGGGAGCAAACAGG
rnacentral:rRNA from 1 species